GACGAACGCUGGCGGCGUGCUUAACACAUGCAAGUCGAACGGAAAGGCCCUGCUUUUGUGGGGUGCUCGAGUGGCGAACGGGUGAGUAACACGUGAGUAACCUGCCCUUGACUUUGGGAUAACUUCAGGAAACUGGGGCUAAUACCGGAUAGGAGCUCCUGCUGCAUGGAGGGGGUUGGAAAGUUUCGGCGGUUGGGGAUGGACUCGCGGCUUAUCAGCUUGUUGGUGGGGUAGUGGCUUACCAAGGCUUUGACGGGUAGCCGGCCUGGGAGGGUGACCGGCCACAUUGGGACUGAGAUACGGCCCAGACUCCUACGGGAGGCAGAAGUGGGGAGUAUUGCACAAUGGGCGGAAGCCUGAUGCAGCAACGCCGCGUGCGGGAUGACGGCCUUCGGGUUGUAAACCGCUUUCGCCUGUGACGAAGCGUGAGUGACGGUAAUGGGUAAAGAAGCACCGGCUAACUACGUG
rnacentral:rRNA from 1 species